ensembl:lncRNA
UUUUGAGACAAGGUCUCACUGUGUCACCCAGGCUGGAGUGCAGUGUCGUAGUUCAUAACUCAAUACAACCCCGAAAUCCUGGGCUCAAGAGAUCCUCCCACCUCAGUCUCCCUAUUAGCUAAGAUUAUAGGCACAUGCCACUAUGCCCAGCUAAUUUUUUUUAAACUUAUUUUUAGUAGAGAUGAGGUCUCACUGUUGCCCAGGCUGGUCUUGAACCCCUGGGCUCAAACAAUCCUCCUGCCUUGGCCUCCCAAAGUGCUGAUACGAUAGGUGGGACACUAUGUCCGGGCUGUUUUAGAUUUCUAUGACACUUUAUUUAUUUAAUAAGUAGGAGGUAAAUACAGCAAAAUGUUACUGUAUCAUUUUUUAAAAAAACCUCUGGGUCUGAAGUACCUGGGUUUGAAGAAACUUUCUGCUUAUUUGAGGUAUUUUUUCAAGUAUCCAGUGAACUCUUGAUUUUUUAGCUUGUCUUUUUCAUUUUACCUCUUUGCAACUUAGGUAUGUCUUUGUGCAACACUUCAAGUGUCUACUUUCCUCCACAUUUUCUUCAUUCUUAUUUGUCCUUGCUUUCUACCUACUUUUUUCCCCCCUCUAACCAACACACAAUUCUGACCACAACUACUCCUUACACUGCUAUCAUUUUCCAUCCACCACUUCUCCAAAUGACAGCUAGGAAAAAAGCAAACUCCACUGUAAAAGGCAUUCUGUUAGGUUAGAAGCCAUUGCACACAGUCAUUGAAUAUUUAUGUUCAUGCAUCCAAAUUUUCUGGAAUAUGCAGUUGUUUAAAAAAGGGAUUCUCUCUAUUCUUUAUCCUCCCAGGGAGCAGAGACUAUACCUCAUGUUUGUGUAUUUAAUUAAAAAGCCCGCUAAACAGCCUCUCUGAGAAUAAGUUUCUUCAAGUGUAAAAUAGGGAUGAUUUUUACCAUGCAGAGUUGUUUCUUAAUAUUUAAAUAAUGUGUACAAGUCACCAUGUAUGUGAUUGAUACAUUCAGAACUGGGAAAGGUUAAAUAGAAGUAUGGAUUUGAUUCUUAGUAAACAAGGAGGAUAUAGUAGGUCCUACUGUAUUUGUUCUCUAUAGCAUCCAUUGGUCAGAAAAAGCCCAGAUAGUAUGAAAGAGCUAUAAUUUCAAAAAAUCUUUACAAGUGGAUUAAAAAAUCCCAGAGAAAUCACAGUGAAACUGAAGAAUAUCUAAGUCAAAGAGAAUGUGCAAACAUCCUCCUCUCUGAAAACACAGCAUUCAGACAUAUAAUAGACUUUUAAGCAACAAGAAAGUCCAGAAGAAAAUUGUAAACCCAACAACAAAAUGUAUUGUGAGGAACAACUCUAACAAUUCUACUAAAUGAUAAAAGACCAUCUGCAUGGAACGCUACCAGGUCAGAAGCUGCAGCAACUUAGCUUUUCUAAAUUAAUUCUCUGAGGUGCCUGGGAGUUGGGUACAUAACACAUCACAAAACUCAUCUAAUCCAAGAUUAAGAACACAUUUUUCUAUGAAACACAGGUGAAGCAACUGAAUGCUUUAUUAAAAGAUGAUUAGCUAUUUAAACAAAAUUGAAAAACUAUGCAUUUUACUUACUGCUUUACUUACUGUAGCUUUUAAAACACUGGUUCAGCAAGGGGUAGGAUAACCAUGAAGCUUCCUCCAAGAAACAUAGGUCCUGAGUAUCUGCAUUAUUAAGCUGACGUUUGGUACUGCUGAAGCAUCUUACCAAUAAGCAGCCAAAAUAAAAGGAAUUAUCAAGGAAUGACUUGUGAUGGAUUUAAUGAUUGUCUUUCAGGAAUUAAGAGUUUUAUGAUAAACAAAUGGAGUCAAGAAAUGUGAAUAAUUAAGUGGUCAAGAGUGCAAAAAGGAUGAGUACACUAAAAAUUAAACCCAAUCAUGUUUCAAAAGUUUAAUACCAUUUUUUAUAAAAUUGAACUUGCAGUAUUGAAUACAUGAGUUUAUAUUUUUGAACCUAAAUGACCUUUUACACUUAAAUAAUUAUAGAUUGCAUGCCAGAAAAUGGAAUUAGGUUGAUGCUAAUUUAAAUAUGUACAAUGUAAUUCAAACAUAAAUUCUGAAGAAUGUAAGAACUAAUAGCAUGUACGCCAGCUUUCCCAUGACCCAGCCUUCCUCCAGUAGAAAUACUGUACUAUGAGCCAUUUUGUCCAGACAAAAAGGCUCUUCUCAUAAUAUUUUUAGCCAUAUAUAGAUAAAUUUAAAAUAGCAUAAGAAGAAUCUUUCAGAAAUAAUUGAUGGUAAAAUAUCCUUAUUUUUCAUUUUGUAUAUAUUUACAAAAGUGUAUUUACCUAUUUCUGAAAAGAAGAAACAUUUAAAAUGAAGAUAAGCAUUAUCAAAAUAAUUGUUUCUUUUAUUUACACCAUUUUGAUAAAUAGAAUGAAAUAUCUUACUAUAACAGGACCUAUAUCAUGAAAAUGCUACAAAAAAGGUCUAGUUUCCACUUGUUAUGUAGAAUUAUUCAGUUCAAUGAUCACAUUAGGUUUUCCUUUCCAAUAGUCAUGACAUUGGUGGUUUGAAAACGAUCUUGGCUUAAAUUGACUUUUACUUUCUUUAAUGUGAGCUCUUACAACUUCCAGAAAUGGAAAUAGCAGAGGUUAGGUUUUUAUUCAUUCAACAAAAUGCAUAACUUUUCAUUACUGAAAGGCAUGUCACGAAC